AAAGACAACUGGAAGCGGGAAGCGCGCGGAUGGUUGGAGAGACGCGACCAAUAAGAGAUGACUUGCAUCGGAUUGACGUGAAAGUACCUGGCUUAUCCUGCCCCUGUCCAGUUAAGUGGUGGAGAGUUUCGGAGCUGUGAGCUCUGAUAGAGAAAUGUAUCAACCACCACGAACAGACCAAAGCAAGACAAUGUUUAAAGCUCGCUAUGGAUCUACUAACAGGUUAGCCUCUAGAAAGUCUUUGGAUGUAUUUGAAGUGUGAUUAUAGUGUGUUCUGUGUUACUCCUUUGUCAAUCCAAUACUAACUGAAUAGUGAAUCAAUCA